rnacentral:rRNA from 1 species
UACGUAGGGGGCAAGCGUUGUCCGGAUUUAUUGGGCGUAAAGCGCGCGUAGGCGGCUUUGCAAGUCGGGUGUGAAAUCCCCAGGCUUAACCUGGGAACUGCAUUCGAGACUGCAUUGCUAGAGUAUGGGAGAGGGAAGUGGAAUUUCCGGUGUAGCGGUGAAAUGCGUAGAUAUCAGAAAGAACACCAAUGGCGAAGGCAGCUCUCUGGGACGGUACUGACGCUGAGACGCGAAAGCGUGGGGAGCGAACAGG